UAGGGAAUCUUCGGCAAUGGACGAAAGUCUGACCGAGCAACGCCGCGUGAGUGAAGAAGGUUUUCGGAUCGUAAAACUCUGUUGUUAGAGAAGAACAAGGACGUUAGUAACUGAACGUCCCCUGACGGUAUCUAACCAGAAAGCCACGGCUAACUACGUGCCAGCAGCCGCGGUAAUACGCAGGUGGCAAGCGUUGUCCGGAUUUAUUGGGCGUAAAGCGAGCGCAGGCGGUUUCUUAAGUCUGAUGUGAAAGCCCCCGGCUCAACCGGGGAGGGUCAUUGGAAACUGGGAGACUUGAGUGCAGAAGAGGAGAGUGGAAUUCCAUGUGUAGCGGUGAAAUGCGUAGAUAUAUGGAGGAACACCAGUGGCGAAGGCGGCUCUCUGGUCUGUAACUGACGCUGAGGCUCGAAAGCGUGGGGAGCAAACAGG
rnacentral:rRNA from 1 species